AUUGAACGCUGGCGGCAGGCCUAACACAUGCAAGUCGAGCGAGCGGCGGACGGGUGAGUAAUGUCUGGGAAACUGCCUGAUGGAGGGGGAUAACUACUGGAAACGGUAGCUAAUACCGCAUACCAUCAGAUGUGCCCAGAUGGGAUUAGCUAGUAGGUGGGGUAACGGCUCACCUAGGCUACUAUCCCUAGCUGGUCUGAGAGGAUGACCAGCCACACUGGAAAGGAGCCACGGUCCAGACUCCGACGGGAGGGAGCAGUGGGGAAUAUGGCACAAUGGGCGCAAGCCUGAUGCAGAAAUGCCGGGUGUGUGAAGAAGGCCGUCGGGUUGUAAAGCACUUUCAGCGGGGAGGCGUUACCCGCAGAAGAAGCACCGGCUAACUCCGUGCCAGCAGCCGCGGUAAUAC
rnacentral:rRNA from 1 species